rnacentral:lncRNA from 13 species
AUGUUCUGUGCGCACCUCCCCACGGGGCGCCCUGGGGAUGUAGGGGCUCAGAGUCGCCGACUUUCCUGCCCCCACCCAUCCCCAACUCGCCAGCUGGAGCUACCUGCGCAGCACCCAAGACUGCAAAAGUCUGGCCCCAGCCCCCUCCCCGGCCAGAGCUCGUGGAGCCUCCCUCGCCUGGCGGGUGGCCCGCCUCCCCGGAGGCCCGGCGCGCGGUCUGCGCUGCAGCAGAGCCCGGCGCCUCCACCGCCGCCUCCGCGCGGCCCCCCGGUUUUCCCGACGCUGCCAGGGAGGAUGCCCGGCUCCCCGUCCCCGAGUCCCCAGCGGCCCGGCGCGAAGUUCCCCAAAGUGACCCGGGCGCCGAGAACCCCCGCCCCCUCCCCUCGGGCUUCCCCGGAGACUCCGCCCGCCGCCCCCUCCCGCGCCUUCGGAAAAGUUGCGAGCUACGCCCCAAACUCCGGCCCCCCAGCCCCGUGCUGCACGCGCCCCGGGCGCCCCCGCGCAGGGGCGCAGUUUCCUCUACCCCAGCCCAGGCGCCAUGACGCGGGGAACGCGGCGGGGGCCACCGGCGGCGGCGGCGGCAGCGGCGCGGAGGCGGCCAAGUGCGGGCGUGGGCAGCAGCGCGGGGCGCACGUGCGCCGGGCCGGGGGCCGGACCCGGGCCGGGGGCCGCUUACCUGUUGGAGGUAGAGGAAGGCGGGUGGGCAGGGCACGGAGUGCGGGAGCAUGCUGCCGGAGUGGGACAGCAGGAGGCAGCCGGAGUUCGCCAUGGAGCACAGCAUGGGGCGGCAGGGGGGCGCCCGGCAGCCGGAGGAGGCUCUGCGCUCGCUGCGUCCCUCGGAGUGUGCGCGCGCCCUGCCUCCCGGGCGCCCUCCCGGUCUCUCCUCCUCCUCCGGGCCUCCCCUCCCCCUCGUGGCGCUCUUUAAGAGGGAGGCAUCGAAAGGAGAGCUGCGCGCCUCUGCCGGGUGCUCUCCCUACCCGGGUGGGGAGGCUGAAGAGAGCGCGCGCGAGAAUACGGCCGGAGACAGUCUGUGCGCGAGAGAUCGGGCGAGCGGGCGAGAGCGGGAGUCAGUCACUUUGGAGCCUCCGGAGCCCUGUCUGCAAAGAGUGGUACACUGGACUUGACGUGUUUUGA